AUACCUUUCUCGGCCUUUUGGUUAAGAUCAAGUGUAGUAUCUGUUCUUAUCAGUUCAACAAAAUCAUCUUUUGCUAGAGAGUUCAUAAUAUCCUCACUGCUUGCACUAACUUUUGAAUCUACAUCAGAAUCGUAACCUGCAGCAUGUUUCUUUAAUUUUUCAUUAUUUCCCAUGAAACAGUAUUGCUGUGAUGACAACAC